rnacentral:lncRNA from 1 species
GCUCAAUGGAAGUCAUGAAAAAAUUGUAAAUAAGAGCUGAGACUUUUUGACAAAUCUCCAAGUUGGACGAAUUCUUCAUCACUGUUGUCCGUUCUUCCCCCAGAAGAGGCAAGCACGGGCUGUGCAGGGAAUAGAAACCAUGACUAAGGGAAAGACCUUCUCACAUGAAAUCAGAGGAUCAUAGACUUAAAAGCACAGAUCCUAUGGCCCAACCCAGUGGUCUACUUCUCAGGACCUCACUCUGAAGGAAGAGUCUCACUGUCUACUUUCAAGCCUACCCAGCUUCAAAGACCACCAGUUCAACUGCCAUUUCUUCCAUGAAGCCUUCCUGAUUGCCCCCAUCUGGAAUUGACCUCCUAACGCCCUGCUCCACUUGAAUGCUCUUUAUUGGCACCUCUCUCAUUGUCUCUUUGCUUGGAAUUAGAUUUUUACCUGUCUUCACCUCCCCUAUGAGACUAAGCUUGUUGAAGACAAGGACUGCAUCUUAUUCGCCUUCUAUUUCCCAAAAGUCUGUCACAGUGAUCCUCUGCCACUUAAUUUGACAUUGAACAAACCCUUUCACCUCUUUGAGCCUUGGUUUCUUCUAUUGUAAAAUAGGGAUGAUAAUAGCCCUUACCUCACAAUUUUUUGUGAAGACUGAAACACACACAUACGUAAUUUAUUGAGCAUACACUAUGUGUGUCAGAGAUGUGACAUGCCUUUCAAAGGGCAAAUACCUAGUGCUGGCAGACCUGGACUCAAAUAUCGUCUUCUAAAUAGACUAUGCUCCUAACCAGUGUUCCACACUGCCUCCCACAUAAGAGAGGGACACAGCCAGACAGCGCCCAGCACACAGUAGGAGCACAGUGACUGUUGCGAAAUGCUUGACUCUGUUGAACUGAAUCAAACACCUCUUUGACUUCACUUUCCCCUGGACUGUGGUUUGCCCGUCUCCAGUUUAUCCUGCCUGUGUCAUCAGACCACGUGACACACACACCCCCUGGGGGCCCACUUAAUUCUUGCUGACUUGGAAUGUGUCUUCCCAGCACUCCUGUAAACUGGGAGGAGGCUUUGGGCUGUAAAUCUUGGAUCUGGGACAGCCCAAAGGUCUUUGUUUGCACUAACCCAGACAACAGCUGGAACUCCAACCAAAGGAGACGCUGCCUGGUGGGGGAGGGGGAAUGUGUGAGCCUUCCCAUCCUCCCCACACAGAGGAGUCCAAGGUCCAAGGCUGCAGGUCUCCUGUGUUGAACAUACUCCUCACCCUUUGGUUGCGAAGGAAUUUGUGGUGAUAAAACCAGUUCUUCAUUGCGAGCCCCCUCACCUCAUAACAGCCUUACGGCUGGAUAUUUGGGAAAAG